UAUAUAUUAGUGUAAGAAGCACGAGAAUUUUUGAUGUUCUAAGGGUAGUUUAAUUCUAUAAUAUAUAA
rnacentral:tRNA from 1 species